rnacentral:lncRNA from 10 species
GUGAGUCAGCCUCCCCUGCACCUGCUGUGAGGAUGGGCCUUCAGGGCAGACCCGUCUUGAGCGAUUGUAGGUGCUGGCUACAAACCACUCUCCAGGAGUUGCUGAGGCAGCUGCAGGAACAGAGAGCAGCUCCCCAGAAGGGGAGACCCGAGAGGGAGGCAGAGGGCUAUGAGUGAGCUGGUCCAUGGCUGGCUGGAAGUGGAAGGCAUGAGGGAGACUGGUAGGGCAUGCUCAGAUCACCCUGGGUUUUGUUCCUAAGCUGUUCUGGAGGAGAGCUGAUAUGAUGAGAGGCUGAAGGAAAACUGCUCACUGUGCUCACUGCUUGUCUCCUGGAAUCUGGAACUGACCCCUCAGGGGAGGGUGACUGGAGGGCCUCCUCCAGCCUGCUGAGAACACAGACAGGUCUCUGUUUACCCUGCUUCUCCAGCCUGAGUUCCUUUUUUUUCUCCAUUCUGCUUGUUGAACUCCUGCCAAACUCCGAUUUUGACAUCAAAGCCCACCUUGAAUGCUGCUUGUCGCUAAAGCCAUCGCUGGCAUUUCCAGACAUUGUCAAUAUCUACUGGACUAAAGAAAUUCUCUACUAAUCAGAAAAGGAAUUGGUCUGUAUUGAAGCUGGAAAGAAAAUCAGAGGAGCCAAUGCUGUCAGAGUGCAUCCAAGGACCAUUUAAAGAUGUCCUGGCCGGAGGUCUGGGCUGUCAGGUCCUGCCAGCAGAGACAGGAUCUCACUGCUGGUCUUGAACUCCUGGAUGCAAGUAAUCUUCCCAACUUGGCCUCCCAAAGUGCUGGGAUUAUAGCCAUGAGCCACCGCACCUGGCCAGAAAUAUCUUUAAAGCAGGAAGAAGGAAAUGAUGCAUUACCUAUAAGAAGAAAUGAUUACCUAUAGAAGAAAAUGAUUCAAAUGCAACUGAUUUCUCAUUGUCUGCACAUAAGAAACCAGCAAAAUGUAUUUCAAGUGCUGAAUAUAAAGAAAUGCCAAGCUAGAAUUCCAUCAUCAAUAAAAAUAUCCUUCAAGAACGAAGGGGAUAAGCCAGGCACAAAAAUACAACUACUGCAUAUUCUCACUUAUAUGUGGAAUCUAAAAUAAUAGGAAUAGAGAGCAGAAUGAUAGUUACCAGAGUCUGGGGUUUGGGAAUAUGGGAAGAUAUUGGUUAAAACAUACAAUGGUUCAGUUAGGAGGAAUAAAUAGUAAGUAUUUGAGGUGAUGAAUAUAUUAAUUUGCUUAACUCAAUCAUUCCAUAUUGUAUACAUACAUCAUAGCAUCACUUUGUACUUCAUAAAUAUAUACAAUUAUCAUUUGUCAAUAUUCAAUUAAAAACAGAAUGAACAGAAUGAAGAGGACAUGGAGGCAUUUUCAGAUGAAGAGAAACUAACAGGAUUUUUCAGCAGACUUACUCUAAAUGAAUGGCUACAGGAAAUACUAUAAAAAUAAAGGAAAUGAUAAAAGAAGAAACUUUGUAACAUCAAGAAAGAAGGAAGAACCACCAGUAAACAAAAAUAUGGGUAAAUAAAAUAAAAUUUUUUUUAACUUCUUUAGUUUUCUCUAUUAUCUUUGAUGGUUGAAACAAAAAUUGUAACACUAUCUGAUGUGGUUCUAAACGUAUGCACAGGAAAUACUCAAGAUAACUAUAUCAUAAGUCGGGGAGGGUAAAAGAACAUAAAGGAAAGUAAGGUUUCUGUACUUUACUCAAACUGGUAAAUGAAAAACUGGCAGGCUGUGAUAAAUUACAUGCAUUUAAUGCGAUACCUAGAGCAACCACUAAAAAAAAAAAAAAGCUAUGCAAAGAGAUACAUUCAAAUGCUAUGGAAAAAUAAAAAUGAAAUUUAAAAAAUGUUCAAGAAAGCCACAGGGAGGUAAGAAAAACCAAACAGAAAAAUGGAAAGCAAAGAGGAUAAACAGAAAACAAAAAAGAAAAUGGCAGAAUUAAGCUCUAACACAUAAUUAAUUACAUUAACUAUAAAUGGUCUAGAUAUACAAAAUAAAAGAGAUUGGCAGGGUUGUUUAACAAACAUGACUAAAUUAUAUUCUAUCUGAAGGAAACUAACUUCAAAUAGAAUUAUAAAUGUAUGAUAAAGGAUAUAUUAUGCAAAUAUUAACCAAAGAAAACAAGAGUAACUUUAUUAAUGGUAGAUAAAGUAUACUUCAGAACAAAGACAAUUACCAGAGAUAGAGAUAUUAUAUAAUGACAAAAGGGUCAAUCUAUUAAGAAUAGCAAUUUUAAAUGUGUAUGCAUCGAACAAAAAAGCUGCAAAGCAUGUGAAGCAAAAACUGAUAUAAUUGAAGGGAGAAAUUUUAAAAAGUCUACAAGUAUAGUUAGACACAUCAACCCCUCUCUUGACAAAUAAUAGAACAACUAGACAGAAAAUUAGCAAGAAUAUAGAAGAACUCAACACUACCUUCAACCAACAGGAUCUAGUCAAUACUUACAGAAUAUCCAAACCAACAAUAGUAGAAUAUAUUUUGUUUCCAAGUGCUCACAGAACAUAUGCAAGAUAGACCAUAUCCUCAGCUACACAACAAACCUCAACACAUUCAAAAAAUUGAAAGCAUACAAAAUGUAUUCUCCUAUAGCAAUGGAAUCACACUAGAAAUCAAUAACAGAAAGACAAUAGGAAAAUCUCUAAACACUUGGCAACAAAAAGACAUACUCCAAAAUAAUUCGUGGUUCAAAGAGGGAGUCUCAUGGGAAAUUAAAAAAAAGUUUCAGCUGAAUGAAAGUGAAAACAACAUAUCAAAAUUUGUGGGAUACAGCUAAAGUAAUGCUGGGAGGGCAAUUUAUAGCACAAAAUGCAUAUGUUACAAAAGAGGAAAGGUCUCAAGUCAAUAAUUUAAGCUCUUACCUUCAGAAUCUAGAAAAAGAAGAGCAAAAUAAACCUAAAGCAAGCAGGAGGAAAGAAAUAAUAAAGAAAACAGCUGAAAUCAAUGAAACUGAAAACAGAAAAACAAAUGAGAAAAUCAUUGAAACGAAGAGCUGGUUCUUUGAAAUGAGAAACAAAGUUGACAAACUUCUAGCAUGACUGACAAAGUAAAAAGAAGAUAGCAAUAUUUGGAAUGGAAGAUAUCACUGCAUAUCCUGCAGACAUCAAAAGGAUAUUUAGGGCAUUUUACACCACAGAUUUGACAACACAGACAAAAUAGACCAAUUUUCUUUAAAAAAAAAACACCAGUGACUUCAACUUACCCAAUAUGAAAUGGAUAAUUUGAAUAGUAGUAUAAUUAUUAAAAAAUUAAAUUGAUAACUGAAAAAACCCACAAAACAAAUUUCCAGGCCCAAAUGGUUUCACUGGAGAAUUUUAUAAAAUACUUAAUGAAUUAAGACCAAUUCUUUUGGGAGGCUGAGGUGGGC